AUGGAGAGGAUGGCUCAAUCCUACUUCAAGGAGAUUUUCACUAAGGAUCCAACUCUUUCCCCCGAUGAGGUUCUUGACUGUAUAGUACCGAAGGUCACUGAUGAGAUGAAUGAUACGUUAGGAAGCCGUACUCUGAUGAGGAAAUCUCUAACGUCCUAUUCUAGAUCGGUCCCCUCAAAGCGCCAGGCUGUGACGGUUUGCCGGCCAGGUUCUUUCAGCGUAACUGGGCACUGCUGA
rnacentral:rRNA from 1 species